rnacentral:lncRNA from 1 species
UCUUUUGUAGAACCUGAUUGUAACCUGGACUGAAAAAAUGUCUCUGUAAGCUAACAUGGUAGACCCUCAUUGUCCCGUUGGUCUUGGGGAACAAACAGGCAUAAGUAUGUGUUGUGUUGUUAUCGUGAGAUGUUACAUGUCCCUCAGGAAUGUCCAAAGUGAGCAGAGCUACUAGAUGACUUAUCAAGAUGUUCAGACUCCACUGCUAAAUUCAUCUUCUCUCAGUGACUGGUUUAUCCCCGUGUUCAGGAACAGAACUGCCUUCAACCUACAACUCAUUAGCAUUUGUUCCAUUAACAAAUGGAUCUCCUCAUGAAUGUUUUGUGCCCAACGACAGGAGAGUCCAAUCUAAGCUAGCCAGGCAGAAGAUAGGGAAUCAUUGCUGGUUUAUGUUUCUGCUCUUUCUAAUUCAGUUGUCUACCGCAUGCAGACAUCCCCUCCCUUGACUCCUGGAUGGCUAAAGCCAUUUUUGCCUUGUCUCAUUUCUCUGCCUACACAAAGACACCUUCCCCCAUAGAUCUUAACUAGAGUCUACCGUCCUUGGACAUUUUCUGCAGAUGCAGGCUCCGUUCUGCCAUUUUGUCCCCACCCGCAUCUAGCUCUCCCUCAUACCUAGAGUCCAUUUUUUGUAUGUUGUCCUUCAUUAGGACAGUUGACAGCUUUACACCAAAGCUGAAGUCUCAUUUAAUCCUAAGCAAGGGGGCUAGAGGAGAACUAAAGUCCCCUUCCCAUAACAAAGGACAUAGGUCACCGGGAGGAUGAAGGUAUCUAACAGAACCUGCUCACCUUUCAGGGUUUAAAUUAUGAUCAGGCCUAAGAAGCUCCCUAUUGCGACUGAGUGUAUUUGCAUAGACAUAUCAGUUCCAAUAAAAGCAGCUGUUCCACUGAGGCAUCCUGAGAAGACUUUUGUCAUUCCCUCUCAUUUCUGUGGAUGGAUUUUCUAAUGUGGUGAAUAAUAGAGAAAAUACACACACACACACACACACCGAAAGAGCGUCGGCAGCCGGGACAGAGACCUCCCACCUCGGCCCCACGUAAGCCACCAGGUCCCACAGAUCUUGGCGUCCCGACCCCACUCCCUCUGCCCUGCUCAGGCAGGGUCCCCUCCUCGCAACAGGCCCCGCUAGUCUCUCCUGCAGGCGCUCCUCGCGUGGCUGCCUCGCCCCACAGAAUCAUCUGCUUCAAUGUUUUUCUUCCCUUUUUUCCCCCUAAGAUUUUAUUUUUAAGUAAUCGCUAUACCCAAGGUGGGGCUGGAACUCACGACCCUAACAUCAAGAGUCACAGGCUCUUCCGACUGAGCUAGCAGGUGCCCCUCAAUGUUCCUUCUUGAUGUUUGUGAGAAUUAGGUAGAUCAUGUUCUAAAAGAAUAUCUCAAACUAAAAAGCAAUACCACGCUUAACGGUAAAACAAUAGAUUACUAAGAAAAAUAAUAAAUUAGAAAUAAAGAAGCA